AAUGAUUAUUACUAGUGUACAAUGAAAAUAAACACCUUUUAUAUCAGGGAGACUAUCUUAUAUAAAGAUGAAUGACUCACUUUUGAUAAAUCAAAGAAGUUGUACAUCUCUACAAUGCAUUUCUUUGGACUACUUUUGGGAAUUAUCAUAAUAUUUUGUGAAUUAUCUUUUGGCCUCGGUAAUAGCUUAUGCAAUGAUGCCGCAGCAAGUAUUACAGAAUGCUCUUGGAAGGCAGGUUUGCUUCUUGAUCGUUCCACAUUUAUUCUUGAAAGUCAACCCUAUUUCACUGUGUGUACAAUAAGUCGUAUGACCAGGCUAUCCCAAUGCUACGAGAAUGUUACUGACAGUUGCCCAGACUACCGGGGUGAUGGACCACAAUUGAUGGACAAAACCGCAUAUAAAGCAUUCUUGAUUGGGACAUGCUUAAACCAAUAUGUAUAUGAAGAGGGUUUGUUAUGUAUUGGAAAUAAGCUACCGGAAAUGAAAACAUAUGUCAACCAGAAUUGUCUUUCUUCGCAGUUCUAUUACGAUACUGUAUGGGAUGCAUACAUAGAAAUGGGCGACUGGAAUUGGCAAAAGUUUUGUAGAUUGGUUAUUCAGGGUAUCGAAUGUUCUGUCAACAAAUCGACUGAGUACGGAUGUUCCGAUGAGUUUCGUGAUAUGUUGAUAUAUUCAUCGUAUGUCCGUUUACCAAUUGAGUGUCGUGAACCGAAUUCAACAAAAUUGAAAUGGCUUGACAUUUACCAGGAAAUACCAGACAGCCUUCCCGAGCCACCAGACAAUAAUUCUUCUACUCUGUCUAGUUAUUUCUCGACAUGCUUAAUUAUAAUAUCCAGUCUGUUUUUGUUUUGCAUAGUAAAAUACACCAGUGCCUGAAGAUUCUUAAAUAUCAAAAUGAUCGUUCAUGUCUAUCUAA